rnacentral:rRNA from 1 species
AGGACGAACGCUGGCGGCGUGCUUAACACAUGCAAGUCGAGCGAGGCCUUCCCUUCGGGGGAGUGCCCUAGCGGCGAACGGGUGAGUAACACGUGGGCAACCUGCCCCUAGCACUGGGAUAACUCCGGGAAACCGGGGCUAAUACCGGAUAUGACCUUUGAGGGCAUCCUCUUUGGUGUAAAGGAUUCUGGCUAGGGAUGGGCCCGCGGCCUAUCAGCUUGUUGGUGGGGUAAUGGCCUACCAAGGCGACGACGGGUAGCCGGCCUGAGAGGGCGACCGGCCACACUGGGACUGAGACACGGCCCAGACUCCUACGGGAGGCAGCAGUGGGGAAUAUUGCACAAUGGGCGAAAGCCUGAUGCAGCGACGCCGCGUGAGGGAUGACGGCCUUCGGGUUGUAAACCUCUUUCAGUACCGACGAAGCGAAAGUGACGGUAGGUACAGAAGAAGCACCGGCCAACUACGCGCCAGCAGCCGC